rnacentral:rRNA from 1 species
UGAGGAAUAUUGGUCAAUGGGCGCAGGCCUGAACCAGCCAAGUAGCGUGAAGGAUGACUGCCCUAUGGGUUGUAAACUUCUUUUAUAUGGGAAUAAAGUUUUCCACGUGUGGAAUUUUGUAUGUACCAUAUGAAUAAGGAUCGGCUAACUCCGUGCCAGCAGCCGCGGUAAUACGGAGGAUCCGAGCGUUAUCCGGAUUUAUUGGGUUUUAAGGGAGCGUAGGUGGACAGUUAAGUCAGUUGUGAAAGUUUGCGGCUCAACCGUAAAAUUGCAGUUGAUACUGGCUGUCUUGAGUACAGUAGAGGUGGGCGGAAUUCGUGGUGUAGCGGUGAAAUGCUUAGAUAUCACGAAGAACUCCGAUUGCGAAGGCAGCUCACUGGACUGCAACUGACACCGAUGCUCGAAAGUGUGGGUAUCAAACAGG